GCCAAGGGGAUAAGGGGCUACGGGGAGAGGGCAGGGAUAUGGACCUAGGUAUGGUUAGUAUAGUAAGACCUGAGUGAUCUCCUGGACAAGUGUCGAUCGCCUAGAUUGGGGUCGGAGAGGAAUUUCCCGGAUUUUUUUCCCGAAUUGGACCUGGGUUUUUAUCCGUUUUUUUGCCUCCCCCAGGAGAUCACGAGGUUCUUGGGGUGGAGAGGGGUGAUAGCGGUAUAAAGGGGAGGAUAGUGUCUUGUGUUCUGUGUCUUGUGUCUACUGUUUGUGGGUAAGUGUGUCUGUUUAGUGUUCAGCCAUGAGCGAAUGGCGGUGCGGGCUCGAUGGACCUGGUGGUCUGCUCUCGCACCUACUUUCUAUGUUUCUAUGUCUAUGUUUCUCUCCUCAUAAACAUAAAUCUUAAAUCCAAGCAACGUCUUCAAAUCCUCUCUGCACCCUCUUUGCACACAAAGAGACUCGUGUUUUCAUAUAUUUCCUGUAGUCUUCUAACCAAACUGUGCACAGCACUGUAGAUGUGGCCUACUUAGUGUAUUGUACAAUUCUAGCAUAGCCUCCCUUAAAUUGUAUUCUAAGCCUUAUCUACAGCCUUCUUAAUCACCUAAUCCAUUUAUCCAGCUACUUCCAGGGACCUGUAGGGAUGCACUCCAUUUCGUUUUUGUCUGCACUUCAAAGAACCCUGCUAUUUAUUCUCUGAAGACGGUUCUCGACCCAAAACAUUACCCAUUCCUUCCAUCCCAAAAUGCUGCCUGUCCCGCUGAGUUACUCCAGCAUUUAGUGUUUGGUGUAAACCUGCACCUGCAGUUCCUUUUUACACAUUUCACCUGCUAUUUAUCAUGCAGUUCGUCGCAUGACUUCAUGCUUCUCCCAAUAUUCAUUCUUGAGCUGAUCAUAACAAUAUGAAGAAUGUUUUACUCGGUCAAAUACAGGUAUUGAGGCAAUGCCUUGAGCAUAAUUAAAAAUAGAAAUUGUUUUCCCUUUAAAAAAAUGUUCAACAAAGAAAGCGAUUUUAACAUUGAGACCACAGCACAUCCACAAGACCAGCUGUCCACAAGGUGCUGUCUUUUUUUAAUGCACCCUAAGAAUUAUGCCCUUUCAGCCCAUGCCCGGAGAAAGUUUAAAAUGCAUGGUCCGAUGACAUACCAUGUGGAAAAUAGCGUAGCUACUGAACCCAUUGCUCUGUGCGUGCUUUCCCAGUUUAGUUCAGCCCAGUUUGUGAACUAAUCUUGCCAUGUGAAAUGCCAGCAGCCCAAAUCUGGGCAUCUCCAGAAGUACUGUUGCAAAUCAAUGCAAUUUCAGUUGGGAAAUCAGUUCUCCUCGCCUCUGGUUUCCUCUGUUAACCAUCCGCGCCCCGUUCGAUCAUUGGUUUUCUAUGGACAGCGUCUUGGAAUUUCUUGAAGAGAGGAGAUGCUGACGCAAAAUCACAGCUAAAAAGCUGCUCAACUGGAGCUGGAAGCAGCGGCAUUCAUAUACGCCACGUGACCCAAAUACGCACAUUUGGAGUGCCAUGAAAUUCAGCCCCAAGGAAUGUUUCUAGAUGAACAAACCUACCUCGGCAACAUCUUAUUUCACCGUUGAUUCCUACUGCUAUUUUACACUACACUUCAAAAUAUAUUUUAGGUUUUAUGUCCCAGUUUAUUUUUAUCCUUUACAUUUCUACCUUUUUUUUCGUGGGAAGAUGUUGCCUACAUUGCAAAUCUGACACGGCAAAGAUUUUGUUUACAAUCAAAGCCAUGGAAUAUGGGCAUCGAUUGAACUGUGGCCCAAGUCUCUAAAUUCUCCUUAAAACGAAGAAUCCGCAAUGGUACUAAAAUAAUUUGCCAAUGAAGAUUACUCGUUAACCAUUUGCAACCCAGCGUACAGUAUAUUUUAUUCGGUGGCAACGACAUAAUGCUCCAAAAUCAACAUUAAAUCGACUGGGAUUUUAAAUAUAGAUCUGGAAAUCGCUCUUGACUAUUGAUGUUUCUCGAAUACAUUCCGGAACAAAAGUAAAGCACGUAAGUCUUAUGUGGACAGUGAUUUACAAAAAUGCGUAGUGAUGUCUACGUGUCUUAACGUUUGUUUUGUAGGUAAAUCCUCUAUGGAUAUCUUCACCACCCGCUGCCGCUGAUGCCACCUUACCCUUCAAUGUGAGGCGAUGCUGAGGUAGAGAUGACUACAGACUCGAAUAAAUAAGGACAAUUAUGAAUAAAAUCGGUGUUCAGAUAAUCUGUCCGUCCCCAGGUGAACAUAUUCCUGGUCAUUUUAUGUCACAAUCCUACAAUGUAACAACGGGGGCAGAUAUGUGCUGAGCUGUAAUCCCAAACUGGCCGAAAUGCUUACGAUCAUUUUCUUGAGCCAAUUUUUGUCCAUUUUGAUUCUCUUUUCCUCGCUAGACUCCAUCUUGUGGAUAUUUUUUGUUUUUCAACUCGGCGCAAUAGCAGUGAUGUUAGCGCGGACGAGCCUGUUCACAUUACUGUUGGGACAGGCAGCAUCGACACGGCAGCAACCGAGACCCACGGCAGAGGCGUCGGCCUCAAUACAUGUCCGGCGCCGGUGGAUCUAGCUUCUGGUCCUAAAAUUAGCCCAAGCUGGAACGCAGCUUCAAAGAACACACCUGGAGAAACAAAAUUGUUUUUGUAAAAACAUUUUAAACGCCUCUUUGGUCUUCACCAUCGGUCAUUUUAAUUCUGUUUGCAUUUGAGUAUAGUGGAAUUGAACUUGAUUUUGUUCCAAAACAGGCUGUUUAUUUCGAUUUGAAUGUUUACUUUGCUGUUUUCGAUUCAAAGAAUAUCGGUUGUUCUCUUACAUUUCCUGAAUAAGAACCUUACUACGUUACAAUGCCUUGCGAUAUCUUACAGUACUUCAUUUUGUAGGGUAUAUCUACAAAAAUCCGAUGCAGCACAAAUCAAUGAGAAAUAACAAACCUCGACUUCAUUAUUUGUCUACGCAUACCGAGGCAAAAUGAAAAUACUACAGAAGAUAACACUUUUUUGAGUUGCUAUAACAAGGGGCAAAUAACUGCCGAACGAACAUGAAACACUGCAGUAUAUCAAAUAGAAAUUGGGGGGAAGAUGCAGAUAAAACACAAGCUUAAAAUAAAAAUGUCUGUGAGGAAAAAGUCACCCAUGUGAACGAGGAGGAAGGGAUGAGAGAUUCUGAGUAUAGUGGAAUGUAUCUCAUUCGUCAAAAAGGUUAAAAUAUUCGCAGUUUAAGCAAAACAAAUGGAAAAUCAAUUAAAGUAACUAACUGCCAAAGCGUUUCCAGAAACAUGGCUUCUUCUUCUUCAAAGGAAACGUGUAGUCUCAAACAUUCCACCUGUAUUUCAGAGAAACUAACGACAUUUAACACUUUGAAAUUUAUAUUCGGCUACCUAAACUGUUCACUAAAUUGGGUCAGUUAUGCAUUUGGUGUUCUAAAUUAUGUACCUGUCAUCCACAGAGUGGAGAGCAGGCUGCUUUAAAAAAUGUGGUAUUGCUCGAGGUAAGUGUGAAGAACCAUAUUCCCGAUAGUGAAUCAUCAGAACGUCCGAUGAUUUUUCGGCCACAUUCCAUGGCGACAGGGAUGACCAUUAUUUUGCUGCAGUCGUCUCGUUGUUUCUGGGCAUGGAGCGCGGUUUGGUGGUUGAAAGCGCUGAACAGUACGAAGGCGAACAGAUAAACAGCAACACUUUAUUUUUGUGGAAAUUGGAGGAACGAUGAUAAACCGAAUGAUUCCAGACCGAACCGUUUAAACCCAUCAUCCAUAUAGAUAAUGCAAAAUCCUGCACAGAGCAAACUCGGACUGUGGCAAAUCGCGAGGAGUUGGGAGCUGAUGUACACAAUGUAAUCCCUGAAAUUGGUGGGCACGACAUCUUGAUAUGUAGGUCCCUUUUAAAAUUAGCAUUUAUUAUCGCCUUUGUGAAAUCAGGCACAGUCGAUAUUUUUUUAUCUUUAUUGCCGCAAUCGGCUAUGUAAUAGACUUAGCUUUUGAUUGAAAUCAAUAAUUAACGAUGUACAUGUUAAGUUACCAUUGGUUACCAGUCGAUUGCUUAACCAGGCUUAUCAACAGGGCACUAAAAUACGGAGAUGGAACUCGAAACUGACGACGCUGAACGCAAUGAAACUGUUUAAAGAUCAACUAUUAAUUAUUACCAUUAAAAACAUGCGUAAACAUCUAUACCAGUGUUCUUGUCUAGUAGAAGUACAAAUGUUGAUAAUUCUCACACUGUUUCAUAUAAAUAUUUGAACCACAUAUAAAGUCAAAUGUACAAUUUUGCUUUCUACGGCCUUCCCUUUGUGAACGUUAACCUACUUUGUAAAUUUUGGAAUAUAUCUCUUUAUUUUUUGCAUUUUUCUAAUCGUUCCAAAAUGUGAAAUGUUGUGCAGUUAACUAAUAUGUAUUCUCUACGUUUUUUCUUCACCAUUUUAUCACUCCAUGUGUACUGACUCUCUUAGUUUAGCACCUUUCCUGUUGGAGAAGAUCGCAACGUUUAUGACCAGUCCGACUUCGCGUGCAAAAGUGUGUCGAGUGUCCAAUAGUGUGCGAAGCUCGCUACAAGUGUGAGUGGCUAUUCGUCAACAUCUGCUCCAGAAAUGUCAAGAGCUACAUACCUGCCCCGAAGAAAGGGGAAACCAAAUGUAGGGAGUGAUGGGGAUGGAAUGGGCGGCAUCGAUUACAUGAGAUUACAACAUUUUAGUGGACUAACGAAAUAGGAAUACCGAACUCGCUUAUAGCAUAAUGUGUGCGAAGAAUUACAUGAUCUACCAUCCAUGUUUAAUUAUGGCUUCUUCCUUGGAUCUGGACUUCAGCAGAGGAAUAUUGGAGCCUUGGGUCUGGACUUCAGCAGAGAGUAACUCUUCCUGUUCAAUUUGAAAUAAACUGGCUACAAGAUCAGGUUACAUAAUUUUAUGCAGAAACAUUUCUACAAUGUGAUAAUGAAAUUAUCACUGUCAUGUGAAGUUUUGUAUUAUAACUAUCAAUUAAAUGGAAAAAAAAGCAUUACAGUUUCAUCUAAAACCUUUUGUGGAACAAAGUCUGGAAUAGAUAUGCUAUUAUUUUUCAGAUAAGAUCUCCAAUAAUCUUGUCAAUGAUUUUGUGACCUGGUACCUGAGCAAGUACCAGUCACUAUUAUAAUAUUUAUUGCAUUUUGGAAUAGACAGGAGGAUAUGGUGGGUGUCCUGCCUAAUCUUUAGAUUUGUAUAUAUCACAGUCUUAGAAUAAUUGUUGAUGGAUGGAUUAAA